GGCAAUGGCGGGCGCCCCUCCCCCCAGCCUCGCUGCCGACUUGCUGUUUGAUCUCAGACUGCUGUGCUAGCAAUCAGCGAGACUCCGUGGGCGUAGGAUCCUCUGAGCCAGUGAGAUGAACACGGUACCUCAGAUGGAAAUGCAGAAAUCACCCGUCUUCUGCGUCGCUCGUGCUGGGAGCUGUAGACCAGAGCUGUUCCUAUUCGGCCAUCUUGGCUCCUCCCCAAUGUUUCUCUGAAGACACGUCAUUUUACCCAAGACCUGAAAGAUGAGGAUGGUCAAGCCCUAUCACAAAACAAGUGAAGAUGUCCA